rnacentral:rRNA from 1 species
GACUGAGACACGGCCCAGACUCCUACGGGAGGCAGCAGCAGGGAAUAUUGCGCAAUGGACGGAAGUCUGACGCAGCGACGCCGCGUGGAUGAUGAAGGCCUUCGGGUUGUAAAAUCCUUUUCCGGGCGAUGAGACAGGACACUAGCCUGGGAAUAAGCGUCGGCUAACUACGUGCCAGCAGCCGCGGUAAGACGUAGGACGCGAGCGUUAUCCGGAUUUACUGGGCGUAAAGCGCCUGCAGGCGGUCAGGUAAGUCGGUUGUGAAAGCCCCGUGCUCAACGCGGGGAGGCCAAGCGAUACUGCGUGACUUGAGGGCGGAAGAGGGGAGUGGAAUUCCCGGUGUAGCGGUAAAAUGCGCAGAUAUCGGGAGGAACACCAGUGGCGAAGGCGGCUCCCUGGACCGCACCUGACGCCCAGAGGCGAAAGCUAGGGGAGCGAACAGGAUUAGAGACCCUGGUAGUCCUAGCCCUAAACGCUGGAUGCUAGGUGUAGGGCUGAUGAGGCUCUGUGCCGGAGCGAACGCGAUAAGCAUCCCGCCUGGGAACUACGGCCGCAAGGCUAAAACUCAAACGAAUUGACGGGGACCCGCACAAGCAGCGGAGCGUGUGGUUUAAUUCGAUGCUACACGAAGAACCUUACCUGGGUUUGACAUGCUGGUGGUACCGAACCGAAAGGGGAGGGACCCUUCGGGGAGCCAACACAGGUGCUGCAUGGCUGUCGUCAGCUCGUGCCGUGAGGUGUCGGGUUAAGUCCCGUAACGAGCGCAACCCUUGCUCUUAGUUAUACGUGUCUAAGGGGACUGCCGGCGACAAGCCGGAGGAAGGUGGGGAUGACGUCAAGUCAGCAUGGCCUUGAUAUCCAGGGCUACACACACGCUACAAUGGCCGGUACAAAGGGCGGCCAAGCCGCGAGGUGGAGCGAAUCCCAGCAAAGCCGGUCCCAGUUCGGAUUGCAGGCUGCAACCCGCCUGCAUGAAGUUGGAGUUGCUAGUAACCGCGCGUCAGCCAUAGUGCGGUGAAUACGUACCCGGGUCUUGUACACACCGCCCGUCACGUCAUGGGAGUUGGCAACGCACUGACAGCGGUAGCACUAACCGAAAGGAAGGCGCCGACUAAGGCGGGGCUAGCGACUGGGACGAAG